UACGUAGGGCGCGAGCGUUGUCCGGAUUUAUUGGGCGUAAAGAGCUCGUAGGCGGCUCGUUGCGUCGGCUGUGAAAACCCGCAGCUCAACUGUGGGCUUGCAGCUGAUACGGGCGGGCUGGAGUUCGGUAGGGGAGACUGGAAUUCCUGGUGUAGCGGUGAAAUGCGCAGAUAUCAGGAGGAACACCGGUGGCGAAGGCGGGUCUCUGGGCAGUAACUGACGCUGAGAAGCGAAAGCGUGGGGAGCGAACAGG
rnacentral:rRNA from 1 species